rnacentral:rRNA from 1 species
UUAGUACCGAAGUCCGGGAUGGAAGAUGGCGAGAAAAGCUGUGUGUAUUUCUGCGGUGCCCGUACCGCAAACCGACACAGGUAGGUAGGAAGAAGAUUCUAAGGCCAACGGGAGAAGGGUUGUUAAGGAACUCGGCAAAUUGACCCCGUAACUUCGGGAGAAGGGGUGCUCCAGAGAUGGAGCCGCAGAGAAUCGGCCCAAGCAACUGUUUACCAAAAACACAGGUUUGUGCUAAAUCGAAAGAUGACGUAUACGAGCUGACGCCUGCCCGGUGCUGGAAGGUUAAGAGGAGAUGUGCAAGCAUUGAAUCGAAGCCCCAGUGAACGGCGGCCGUAACUAUAACGGUCCUAAGGUAGCGAAAUUCCUUGUCAGGUAAGUUCUGACCCGCAUGAAAGGCGUAAUGAUUUGGGCACUGUCUCGACAGCCCGCCCGGCGAAAUUGUAGUACCGGUGAAGAUGCCGGUUACCCGCGACAAGACGGAAAGACCCCAUGGAGCUUUACUGUAGCCUAAUAUUGGGUUUCGAUGUUGCAUGCACAGGAUAGAUGGGACACAGGGAAACAAGUGCUUUGGCAUUUGUGGAGUGGCCGUUGGGAUACCAUCCUUGCGAUAUUGGAAUUCUAACCUGCGCCUUUGAAUCAAGGCGGGGGACAUUGUUAGGUGGGCAGUUUGACUGGGGCGGUCGCCUCCUAAAGAGUAACGGAGGCGUUCAAAGGUUCGCUCAGCUUGAACGGAAAUCAAGCAAAAGAGUGCAAACGCAGAAGCGAGCCUAACUGCGAGACUGACGGGUCGAGCAGUAACGAAAGUUGGAGUUAGUGAUCCGGUGGUAUGUGAGUGGAAAUGCCAUCGCUCAACGGAUAAAAGUUACCCUGGGGAUAACAGGCUGAUCUCCCCCAAGAGUCCACAUCGACGGGGAGGUUUGGCACCUCGAUGUCGGCUCAUCGCAUCCUGGGGCUGUAUUCGGUCCCAAGGGUUUGGCUGUUCGCCAAUUAAAGCGGUACGCGAGCUGGGUUCAGAACGUCGUGAGACAGUUCGGUCCCUAUCUGUCGUGGGCGCAGGAUAUUUGAUGGGAGCUGUUCCUAGUACGAGAGGACCGGAGCGGACGUACCUCUGGCGCACCAGUUGUUCUGCCAAGGGCAUAGCUGGGCAACUAUGUACGGAUCGGAUAAACGCUGAAAGCAUCUAAGCGUGAAGCCGACCCAAAGAUAAGAUAUCCCAUUGUUUCAAACAAGUAAGACCCCUUGAAGACUACAAGGUUGAUAGGCACGAUGUGUAAGUGGAGUGAUCCAUUCAGCAAGCGUGUACUAAUAGGUCGAGGGCUUGACCAC